UCCCUCACACGAUGGCACCUGGAGAGUUUCCAGUACUCAACCAGUCUCGACUACGGGAGAGAGAGUCAAGCAGAGGCGUACCUGUUCCAUUCCUAGCUUGGGCAGUGGCUAGCGAGUGGAAGGCAAUCUGCUGCAAGU